rnacentral:misc_RNA from 1 species
GAGAGAGAGAUCACAUAAAUUUUCACACAAGGCACCAACAUGUGGAUUCUCAAUCUCAUAAGUAGAAUCUUCACCGAGAGAAAGAAAAGGAGAAGGUUAAAGGUAGAGAUUGGAUGACACUAUAAUAUGAUCAGGGCAUAUAAAAAAUAAAAAAGCAAAAUGAUAAAGUGAAUUUUAGUUACUGAUCCUACUCAAGACAUUUCAUCUGAAGAGAUCAUCAAAAUCAUAUGCUUAUUAUAGAUAGCUUUUGUAUUAAUGAUGUAUUCAUUUGCACACUAAAUCUUACUUAACUGGCUCCUAUGGCUAUGGUUGAAAUUAAUUAACAGCAUCACUGCCUCCUAUUUCCC